AUGGGGGGCGGGGACGCGGCGGCGGAGCAGGAGGCGAAGCGCGCGGCGGCGGCGGCCUACGACUACGAGGCCGACCCGCGCUGGGCCGACUACUGGUCCAACGUCCUCGUGCCGCCGCACCUCGCCGCCCGCCCCGACGUCAUCGCCCACUUCCGCCGCAAGUUCUACCAGCGCUUCAUCGAUCGUGAUUUGGUGGUCGAGCCUAUGUCAACCACUGGUUCCACUCAGCCGAGCAGGCCAGACAUAAGGUCUUCACCUUCAGCAUCCAGUGAGAGUGUCAGGGCUCGCAAUUCAGGUUCUAGUUCCAGAUCAGCUGCCCCGCCACCAGCAGCACCACAAGCAGGGGCUGCAAACCCUUUACGUUUCGAUGCAAAGACUAUACAUUUCUCCGUAAAUGCCUGGGUACUGGUUGUUGCUGGUCUGGGAAUGCUUCCGAUCUUGCCAAAACAUCUUGCAGACAGAGCUUGCAAGCUUUCGUUGCUGGGAACAGUCCUCUCCUCAGGAUAUUCGUUAUACAGUACCUAUGGGAAACCAAGAGAAUUGAACAUGGCUGCAAUUCAGGGUUGGUUGCAGUCAGUACUUGGAGCCAAGGACUUUAUCCAUUUAAUGUUCUCUUUGUUGCUCGUCACAUCUCAGCUGCACUUAAAGAUUGCUGCGCUACCUGUCUUCUGCUGGGCGCUUGAUCAUGUUGCCAGAUUCCUAAGGCGUAACUUUUCCCGCUCAUCUUUCUACAGGGGAUACUUGGAAGAGCCUUGCCUUUGGGUGGAGACAAACAACACCACGCUCAGCCUCCUUAGCUCGAAUGCUGAACUUGCCUUGGGGUUCCUUCUGAUCAUAUCACUGUUCUCGUGGAGGCGCAAUUUCAUCCAGACAUUCAUGUACUGGAACGUGCUGAAGAUGAUGUACCGCGCGCCCGUGACAUCCAGCUACCACCAGAGCGCGUGGGCCAAGAUCGGGCGGACCGUCAACCCGUACAUCGACCGCUACGCACCGUUCCUCCAGACACCCAUCUCCAUGGUCCAGCGGUGGUGGCUCAGGUAG
rnacentral:rRNA from 1 species